GACGAACGCUGGCGGCGUGCCUAAUACAUGCAAGUCGAGCGCAGGAAACUGACGGAACUCUUCGGAGGGAAGGCAGUGGAAUGAGCGGCGGACGGGUGAGUAACACGUAAGGAACCUGCCUCAAGGAUUGGGAUAACUCCGAGAAAUCGGAGCUAAUACCGGAUAGUUCAACGGACCGCAUGGUCCGCUGAUGAAGGGCGCUCCGGCGUCACCUUGAGAUGGCCUUGCGGUGCAUUAGCUAGUUGGUGGGGUAACGGCCCACCAAGGCGACGAUGCAUAGCCGACCUGAGAGGGUGAUCGGCCACACUGGGACUGAGACACGGCCCAGACUCCUACGGGAGGCAGCAGUAGGGAAUCUUCCACAAUGGACGAAAGUCUGAUGGAGCAACGCCGCGUGAGUGAUGAAGGUUUUCGGAUCGUAAAACUCUGUUGUAAGGGAAGAACACGUACGAGAGGGAAUGCUCGUACCUUGACGGUACCUUACGAGAAAGCCACGGCUAACUACGUGCCAGCCGCCGCAGUAAUAC
rnacentral:rRNA from 1 species